CCGCCCUGUGGUUGCCUCCCUGCUCCACAAUUUGCUUUGCAUCUCCAUCGGCUGCCGUGGAGGGCACACGCUCAAACUGAAUAAGAGACAAGAGAGUGUCUGGGCGUGUUCGUGUGUGUGUGUGUGUGUGUGUGUGUGUGUGUGUGUGUGUCUGCGUGCUGUAAAUGUAUGACUGUUGCUGCUUGUGGAAAUUUGGUGUGCGUGAUGAAGUGUGUAAUGUGUCUGCAUAUUGCAGCUCAGGCUCACUGGUGGAAGCCUUGAGGCCUUGCCUGACACAGCUUCAGGGCACAGAGAGGAAGGUGAUUAUCUCAUAGCUGCCAGCCAUUCAGCUCAGAUAAAGACAAAAAGUAACUCCAGCUAACUAGGCGUAAAGAUUGUAAAAGUGGAGACACGCACAUGAACUCGGAUGCUAUUGUCUCUAUUCUAAAACUUGUAGAUGCAUUAAAGUAGACUCAAGUACAUUUGCACUCCAGUUUUUUUUUUUUUU